ensembl:misc_RNA Metazoa_SRP Metazoan signal recognition particle RNA
GCCAGGUAUGAUAGCACAUGCCUGUGGUCUCAGCUACAUGGGAGGCUGAGGCGGGAGGAUCACUUCAGCCCAGGAGUUCCGGACGAUAGUUCACUAUGCCAACUGGGUAUUCACACUAGGUUUGACGUCAGUAUGGUGACCUUCUGGGAGCAGGGAAACUCCGGGUUGCCCAAGAAAGGGCGAAUCGGUUCAGGUCAGAAACAGAACAGCCAAAGCUCCCAUGCUGCUCAGCAAUGGCAUUCUGCCUGUGAAUAGCCACUGCACUCUGCCUGGACAACACAGCAAGACCUCACCUCUA